UGGGGAAUAUUGCACAAUGGGCGCAAGCCUGAUGCAGCCAUGCCGCGUGUGUGAAGAAGGCCUUCGGGUUGUAAAGCACUUUCAGCGGGGAGGAAGGCGAUAAGGUUAAUAACCUCAUCGAUUGACGUUACCCGCAGAAGAAGCACCGGCUAACUCCGUGCCAGCAGCCGCGGUAAUACGGAGGGUGCAAGCGUUAAUCGGAAUUACUGGGCGUAAAGCGCACGCAGGCGGUCUGUCAAGUCGGAUGUGAAAUCCCCGGGCUCAACCUGGGAACUGCAUUCGAAACUGGCAGGCUUGAGUCUUGUAGAGGGGGGUAGAAUUCCAGGUGUAGCGGUGAAAUGCGUAGAGAUCUGGGGGAAUACCGGUGGCGAAGGCGGCCCCCUGGACAAAGACUGACGCUCAGGUGCGAAAGCGUGGGGAGCAAACAGG
rnacentral:rRNA from 1 species